AAACGGAAAGAUCGAAAACACAAAGUAAAGCUGAAAAUGGAAGGAAAUAAAAUACAAGAAAAUUCUAAGGAAGAAGUCGGCAAUUUCGAAAAUCAAAAAGACAAUGUUGGUUGCUAUUGAAAAUUUUGGAACAAAGGAACAACAAAAUGGGCCACAAUAGGAUUUGGAAAUUCCUUUUUAUUGAGGACGAUCAAAAUCUUUUAGCUGUUCGCUCCAAGUUAUAUACAAUAUCCGUAGUAAUGGGGUAUAAUAUGUUCUAUGCGGCAAUUUAUGUCAUGUGGAUAAUGUUACGUAUACUAUUGUCUACAGCACCGGGAAGAUUAGACAACUACAUUCGUUUUUAAAUAUUAAAUAAUUGUUUAUACUUCUUCUGUUCUUGUGUUAAACUGUUUAUUUCAAAAUUAAUGUUGAUAUUCAUCUCCAUUCUUUAAAACAAAAAAGUUUUAAAUAGAAUUUUGUUGUGUUUUUCAUAA